rnacentral:rRNA from 1 species
UACGAAGGGGGCUAGCGUUGCUCGGAAUCACUGGGCGUAAAGGGUGCGUAGGCGGGUCGUUAAGUCAGGGGUGAAAUCCUGGAGCUCAACUCCAGAACUGCCUUUGAUACUGAAGAUCUUGAGUUCGGGAGAGGUGAGUGGAACUGCGAGUGUAGAGGUGAAAUUCGUAGAUAUUCGCAAGAACACCAGUGGCGAAGGCGGCUCACUGGCCCGAUACUGACGCUGAGGCACGAAAGCGUGGGGAGCAAACAGG